rfam:Pteropus alecto contig61407, whole genome shotgun sequence.
GUCUACAGCCAUGCCACCCUGAAAAAGCCCAAUCCCAUCUGAUCUUGGAAGUUAAGAAGGGUCGGGUCUGGUUAGUACUUGGAUGGGAGACCACGUAGGCAGACUAGGUGCUAUAGGCG